UACGUAGGGGGCAAGCGUUGUCCGGAAUUAUUGGGCGUAAAGCGCGCGCAGGCGGCUAUUUAAGUCUGGUGUUUAAACCUUGGGCUCAACCUGGGGUCGCACUGGAAACUGGGUGGCUUGAGUACAGAAGAGGAAAGUGGAAUUCCACGUGUAGCGGUGAAAUGCGUAGAGAUGUGGAGGAACACCAGUGGCGAAGGCGACUUUCUGGGCUGUUGCUGACGCUGAGGCGGCGACAGCGUGGGGAGCAA
rnacentral:rRNA from 1 species